UACGAAGGGGGCUAGCGUUGCUCGGAUUUACUGGGCGUAAAGGGCGCGUAGGCGGGCUGUCCAGUCUGGGGUGAAAUCCCGCGGCUCAACCGUGGAACUGCCUCAGAUACUGACGGCUUCGAGGGAGAUAGGGGCAUGCGGAACUGUAGGUGGAGCGGUGAAAUGCGUUGAUAUCUACAGGAACUCCGGUGGCGAAGGCGGCGUGCUGGAUCUCUUCGUGACGCUGAGGCGCGAAAGCUAGGGGAGCAAACGGG
rnacentral:rRNA from 1 species